UGGCAGCUGCGGGGGCAGACGUCGGAGGCAGGCGGAGCCCUGGACCCCACUCCCACCCUCGGACACGAAAGAUGAGUGCUUCCGAGUGCCAGCCUGAGCAGAUGGGGUACCUCCGCCAGCUGACCACAGCAGUGCUGUCCGUGUCCUUCGCCAUGGGUGUGCUGGGCAACGGGCUGGUGCUGUGGAUGACCGUCUUCCGAAUGGCCCGGACCGUCACCACCAUCUGGUUCUUCAACCUGGCCCUUGCUGAUUUCUCGGGCUUGCUGUUCCUGCCCAUCGCCAUCCACAAUGUUGCCUUCGGCCAGUGGCCCCUCGACAAUCUGGUCUGCAAGCUCUACAUGGCCUUUCUGGCCCUGAACCUCUUCGCCAGCAUCUACUUCCUGGUCCUUAUCUCCGUGGACCGUUGCCUCUCUGUUCUCUACCCUGUCUGGGCCCGAAACCACCGCACCGCACGACGGGCCAGUUGGCUGGCCCUCGGUGUGUGGCUCCUGGCUGCCACGGCGUGCUCUCCCUACCUGAAAUUCCGGGCCACUGGAAAAGUGAAUGGAUGUGACUACUGCUACUUCAAGUUCAACUUACAGAACGAGGUCACCCGGGAUGGGGAGCCAACGUCUUGGAAGGGACAGAUGGCCGUGGCCAUCACUCACUUCCUGCUGGGCUUCUUGGUGCCCUUGGUGAUCAUUGGCACCUGUGCCCACCUCAUCCAGGCCAAGCUCCGGCAGGUAGGCUGGGUCCAUAGCAGCAGGCCGAAGAGAAUGCUGUUGGUGCUAGUGAAUGCCUUCUUCCUCUUCUGGUUCCCAUUCAACAUGGCGCUCCUGGUCCAGUCAGGGCUACUGAUGAUGCAAAAGCAAUCCCACUGGCCUAAGAUGAUGCUCGUCCUGUGGGCUGCCUUCUCCCUGGGCUGCCUCAACAGCUGCCUCAACCCCUUUCUUUAUGUCUUUAUUGGCAGAGAUUUCCAAGAAAAAUUUUUUCAGUCUUUGCCUUCUGCCCUGGCCAGAGCGUUUGGCGAUGAGGGAUUCAUCAAUCAUCCUGUCCCAGAGAUGAAGUCUCCAGAGGACAAUGGGAACCUCCGAGUAGCAGCUGGAAAUCUCCCUCCAUAGCUUGCAAACCCUAACUUAGGCCGGCUUCCAAGGAUCUGCCUCUUCUUUAGGAAGUCGCCCCAGCAGUCCCUCACCUAAGGGACAGCUAGCAACCACUGUGGCAAGCCACAUGGGAAGCUAUGUGUCCCCAAGGAGAGCCCAUGCC